UGCAAAUGAUGCAAAUGAAUAUUUGCUAUCUGAAUGAUAAUGCUGAUGCAGAUAAACCACCAAGAUCGCUGAUGCA
rnacentral:snoRNA from 1 species